ensembl:ncRNA Y51A2D.34 ncRNA
UGACACCCAUAUUGUCUAUGUUCAAAAAUAGUGAGCUUUCAGGCCCAACUAGGCUUGAUUUAGUCCGGUUUUAGGCGUUAACUUCAAAAUUUUCGAAAUUUCAAA